ensembl:lncRNA
AGCAGUUCCCAUAGGGUACCAUACAGCUGGGAGGAGCAGUGUAACAACUGUUCCAGCACCUACUUCACCUCAUCUCUGCAAGGACAGCUGUGUUGACAACUCCUCCUACCCUACUGAGUUUUUUUUUUUUUUUUUUUUUUUUUAAAAAAAAAAGGAGCUGGAAUAUAUAUGCAGCAGCCACCUGGAGAAGGAAGAAAGGGCGGCUCAUAUCAGUGCUUCCCCUAUCCUCUUCCCAUGGCAGCAUGGCUUCCCUGUCCUGGCUUUCAUCCUCAGAACAGGAAAUCUCAACUUUGCCCACACUUCUUGAGAUGGUUUAAGACAGCUUUAUAUAUGAACACCUGAAAACAAGACAGCUUGAGACUAAACAGACCUACCAGAUUUAUAUUUGCCUAGCCUACAUAAAAAAGCUACUGGAAGUUAGUCAUAUCCUGUGGGAGUGAGUGAGGAGAAGGAAAAGAAUGAGCUCUGCUUACUCAGAGUUCCUAAUCAAACACCAGGAGCGGAGAAGAACUGAGUAAUUCUAAAUUUUUGCACACAUGUGAAAUUAGAAUUUGCUGGAGAAGCAACGGCAAAAUCCAACGUAUACCCUGUGGUAGUCUACAGAAGUAGUACUCUUCUGACUCACAACAGCCUUUUCUGCACUAUCAGUUCCUAGCACAUGAUUCUCCUGAAAACGACCAUCUACACUUGCCAAGCCUCCAGUGACUGUCAAGGAAGGAAAAAAAAAAAAAAAAAAAAAAAAAGAAGAUACUGUCUCUUCACAGCUACCAUGCAAUGACAAAUGCAUGUAAACACUUCUUGCUGUUUUUCUUCACUCCUAAACAACUGCCUGGAAAAGGAAUGUUCCCUUUGACAUCACAUUGGCCAGUUAUUGUACAAUGUUUCUACUGCUGCUUUCUAAAAUGAGGCUAUCCAACAGAAGCAAAUGUAACAUUCAAUCUAAUUAAUAACUCAAUUGGAAGAGAUUAUUAUUUUGUGAAAAAGAGAAGGAAGAAUUAGAAAUCAACUCAUUCAUCAUGUGAGACUUUACACUAACGGUAUCAUCUUAUAUAAUACCUUCUAUCAGAGGAUCUUGAUACUGCAUCUUAAUUCCCACUGCCCUGGGGAGCCUGUUCCAUGCCCACCACCCUCUGCUGAAGAACCUUUUCUUAAUGCCCCAUCUGACUCUCCCACGACACAGCUCCAUGCCAUUCCCUGGGUUCUGUUGCUGUCACCUGAAAGCAGAGCUCAGUGCUGCCCCUCCGUUUCCCUUGUGAGGAGUUGUAAGGUCCUCUCUUAGUCUCCUCUUCUCUGGGCUGAAGAAAUCCAGGGACCACAGCCACUCUUCAGAUGUCUUGCCCUCAGACCCUUGGAUGCUCUCUAAUAGUCUUAUGUCCUUCUUAUGUUGUGGCACCAAAAUCCACACUCACUGCUUACUGAGGCCACAUAGUGCAAAGCAGAGUGGGGUAAUCCCUCCCCUUGCCUGACUGGCAGUGCUGGGCUUGAUGCACCCUAGGGUACUGUUAGCCCUUCUGGCUGUCAGGGCACACCGCUGACUCAGAUUCAACUUGCCAUCAACCAGAAUCCCCCAGAUCCCUUUCCCUGGGGCUGCACUCUGGCCUCUCAUCCCCGAGUCUGUACACAGACAGAGGGCUGCCCCAUUCCGGGUGCAAAAUCUAGCACUUGCUCUUGUUGAACUUCAAGCAAUUGGUGACUGUCUAGACUUCUAGUUUGUCAUGAUCUCUCUGCAAAGCCUCUCUACCCUCAAGCAAGUCAAUAGCUCUUCCCAGUUCAGUAUUACCAGCAAAUUUACUUAGUGUGCAUUCAAGUGCUGAGUCCAGAUCAUUAAUAAAAACAUUGAAGUGAACUGUCCCUUUAACAAAGCCCUGUGAAGCCUGCUAGUGACUGGCUGCCAUCCUGGUGUAACCCCAUUUACCACAACCCUUUAAGGAUACUGUGAGAGCCAAUAUCAAAAGCUUUGCUGAUGUCCAAAAAGAUUGCAUGAUCUGGCUUCCCUUUGUCAACUAGAUGGGUAAUCUUGCCAUCGAGGGAGACUGAGUUAGUUAAACAGGACUUUAGCGGAUAGCUUCUGUUGACUGUAAGUAGUCCUGAGCUCCCUCAGUACUCUGCAGGUACUUCAAGGCACUGCAGUAGGACAGGGGCACCUUGGCUUAUCCUAAACUUGCUCACUUGCCAGAGUGACUCCAGCGUCAGAAGUGCAACGUAGAGUUGCUAAAAGUUGGCUUGCAAACAGCUCAUUUAUAUCAAACAUUCUGGAUCCCAAAGUGUUUUAUAAGAAGAAUAAAUAUCAGUCUCAUUUUAUAAAUGGAAAACAGAAGUACUAAAUAAUUCAAUAACACACAGGGAAUCUCACAGGAUGCUAAGCCAGAAGCAGGACCUUGAGAUCUGAACUUUACUGUCUGACCACUCCUGCAAUAGUCCUCUUUCUAUUUGUGGAAGAAUCUACAUUAACACAGGCCUGCUGGCUUCUCUUGCUGAUAGAAAUGCUUGUUUGAGACUCACAGCAAUCUGAGAUAGAAGAAUUUUCCCACUGUCAGUGUGAUAUCCCUCCCAGGGAUACUGCUCAGCUCUACAUCCACUGAUAAAAUUAGUAUCAUCUGGUUUAUGUGCCCUCACCACCGUUCUUUCAUCUGAAUUUAAGUUAUUUUAACUGUACGUAAUAUGUAGAAUUUUCAAGUUAAGGAUUAUAAGCUCAAGUACAUAAAAUCAAUGUUAUAUGAAAGAAGCAAUUAGAAACAAAUGUGUAUUCACAUACUGAUAAAAAAAACUAUUCUAAGACAAGGGUUAGUAUAUUUAAAUACUUUCAGAAAGUGACGAUAAAUCUUAUUACAACAUUUUACAAUCCUUAUAGCUUCUUUAUAAACUCUUUAUGAAGUUCUAGUUAUUUCCUUGUCAUUUUUGCAAGUUUUGUAAUAUUCAAAAGUUAUCUUCAUCCUGUCAGCAAACACUUAAGAAAAAGUACUAUAAAUUCUCCAAACAAAACACAAAAUAUUAUCAUAAUUCUGCAACUUAACAACACUUUUAAACACAUUAAAUAUGGGAAAUUUCUUCUCUAUUAUGUCUAGCACUACAUAGAAUAUAGAAAAUAUACACAGCCUACAACGUGAUUAAGAAAAGUUCUCGCAACUCUGCAUUUGAUGAUAAUGAAUCUACAAUAUAUCUAGAACAUAACCUAGACUUCUGAGCAGAGGUCAGCGGAUCAUUAAUGCUGUUUUGCAUUAACCUGGUUCUUUUAUAAAAUAUUUGGAUAACCAUGUGAAUAUUGUAAUUUUUUAAACUAAUAACAAUUUAAUUAUAUUCUAAGACUCUAAUCUGGCCAUACUCAUACAAAUAACCUCACUGAUUCAACUACUCAUUUGAGUGAAGGCUGCAGUUGGAAAUCAUCUUUUCAAAGGAAUUGGGAAAAAAAAAAAAAAAGGAAAUAAAAUCUUUACGAGUCUAAAAGAAGAUUUAAUGAGAGCCAAACUGUAAUUUUAGGAUGGUAAAAGCUAAGCACUAAUACUUGCCAGGACCCACAUCAGGUUGCUUCUACUCUCCAAAGAUAAUUAAACAAAUCUACAAAAAAAAUGUCACCAUAUUUCUCAUUGCUGAAGACAGUCAGGGAAGGCAAGCAUGAGGUCCUAUAGGAUCCGUGUAACAAAAGGUUUACUUGUCAAUCAAACAAAAGGUUAUUCUGGAUGCAGACGUUGGUAUGCAUAGGCUGAGGCUACAAUAUUUUCAGUUACAUUUCCUGAAAUCUUCUGAACUCUUGCAAACCUUUUGAAAGCAUUGCAGGGGCUGCUAUGGUUAAAAACUAGGAGAUGUGAAUCACAGACUCUGUGGAGCCAGAGUCAGCUGCAGAAUCAACGUGGUAGGGCAGCAAACCUCUCCUCUCUAGAAUGCAUGCAAUAGAAGAGUGAUACUAAGAAAUAUAUAAAGACCCUUAUAUUCUUGCUCCAAUCUCACAGUAAAUUGAGACCCAAAAGUAGACCUAACUAUCUAAUAAGAAAUAUUAUUCUUACACCGAAUAACUAAUAAAAAACAUGAAAGACAAAGGCCAAAGAUAAUCCAGGCCAAGCUGACCCAGAAAAUUCUGACCAUAUUUAUCUAUAAUAACCACAAAUAUUGAAUGUACAAGUUUUCUAAUAAUGCACUUCUGUACACAAAGCAUUUUCCUCCCCAUUGGCAUCAACAGAACACUCAGUACUGUUGAAAAACAAGCUUCUUCUAUUUAGAUGCUUAAGGAUCAACUGAGGAGCCUCUUUUAAGCAUUUCAGUCUGAAAAAGUUUCAAUUUUCUCCACAAUCAAGGAGUACAAGCAGCAUUGGUGUCUUCUCAAAAUGUAAGACUUGAAUAAGUAUGUGAGUUCUAGUUAAACUCCAUCCAGAGAUGCAUGUUCUCUCUCUCUUCCCCUCUCCUUCAGAAGUUCCUUGGAUUUCUACAUUCAUGUGAAAUAUUGAACAUUUACUGUAAAACAGUACAGAGGGAAAGGUCAGAAGGGUGGCUGCAGAGGGACUGCCUCCUUCUCAUUUGCAAGGAUAUAUGUGCCAGGCUUAACCUGAGGAUGCUCAGGAAUGCAGAAGUAACUCCUCAGCAAGAAAAAUCCAAUCUCCUGUCCCCAGGUAGGCUAGACAAAACGUUCCUGCAGGCCAAAGCCUGAAGGGAUGAAAAGGCAGCAGUGGAAAUGCAGAAUGAGCCCAGGAUGUAAUGCAGCAUAAUUGUUCUCCAGUGGUAGCUCAAGAGAUGAAGGGAAAAAAUUGCACCUGGCAGCAAUGGCGCUGGCAAAUACAAACAGCAAAAGUCAGAGCUCAUUCAUUAAGGAACUGGCAACAGCGCUCCCAAGCACCCGUGACUACAACACAGGGCUGGCUCUUACCUACAGAGUUAAGUGGCUAGUAGAAACAUUAAUCAUGUUGAAGAAUAUCUGUAUUCAUUGGGAACCUCAUAUUAUCACUGGGUAACACGCACAGGCUCAGAAGGGCCUCCUCCUGAUGUGAUUACAGUGUGGAACAAGUUUUCACUGAUGAUAUAAAAGCAUGAUUUUGCCGUUCGUAGCAGGGAUUUUUCUUGGCAUCUUAUCCUUUCAAAGAGAGCUGGAAGUAAGAAGGGACAAGAUAAUUGAUGCAAGUGUCUGACCAGGACAGGUCUAGGUGAGCUGGGAACAUGGUGUUGUCCAAUCAAGAAAUUCAAGGAUCAAAUCUAUUUAAGUAGCUUUUGAAAUUAGUCAUACAGCUAAUUCUGUAUACAACUCACCACUUACUUCAAUAAAAGGCUGCCUGUUUAUCUUAUCUCUUUGGGAAGGCAUUUAUGCUGGAAAUGUGACAUUCUAAGUUGGAAUUAGAAAAUAACUUUAAAUAUAUAAAUAAAGCACAGAUCUCAUCCUCCUGUCGUUGCUCUGACAGAUUCCAGGAACCUUUCUCAAGCCCACAACAGGGAAGAUAUCUGCCUUGUUCUUUCUUUCUUUCAUCUACAACUACUGCAGACGUUUUGCUCCAGGAUUAUAAGAUUGUGUCUCUAGGAAUGAGAGAGCCUCUGGGAAAGUACUACGUUCCUUAUCUGUCAUUUUGGGAACUGACAUAAACUGCCAUUGAGUUCAUCUGUAUUUCCUAGAAUACGCUCAGGACUUCACCAGAUCAGACCUAUGUAAAAACAAACACAUACAAAAUACUGGAUGUACCCAAAUUUCCUGACUCACUUUAUCAAAUUCACAGCUGUAUAGUUCCAGGUAAAGAAGUAGAUAUACUAUUCUUAUUAGUUUUUCUAUUUCAGAAAACAUGUAAGAUUGAAGACUGUAACUUAACUGAAGCCAGGGAUACGAAAAAAGAGGAAGUAGAAGAAUAAUGUACCAAUAAAAUGUUGACAGUUCUCUGUUUUUUGCCAAUUGUUGAUAAAAUGACAGACGGUAAUGUUUAUGAAAUGUAUAAUUCAAAGCAAAUUUGCCUAGAUAACCAAGUUAAAGAUGCUUUAUCUUCCCUAACAAACAUAAUGCAGCAAUCAGCAAAACCCAGAGUACAUAAUACAAACUGAAAAUGCAAGAAAACAAAUCUUUUCUUUUUGCCUAAGUCAACAUAUUUUCCGAGCACAAAUAAAAUUUUUGGCUUUCUUUCAAAUCUUCACAGCUAAUCAAUAGUUUAGUCAUACGAUGAAAAAUGAUGUAUCCAUAUUCUUCACAAUUGACAUUUCCUAACUGUCUCCAAGGUCGCAUUGAUUGCCAGUUGUUCAGUUUACCCAACUUCUGUUUUGAGCCAAAUAAUAUGAUCUUUGUUUCAUUAAUAUUUAAUAGUAAUUUAGAUUGCGCCAGAUGAUCUUAAAGCUCAUUUAAAUCAGCUUGAAGAUAAUAUUAAGCUUUCUUCUAGUAUAAUCUAUUAUCAUAAAUGAUUGUGUCAUCUGCAUAUAAAUGGUGAGUUGAAUAUGAUAAUGAAGUGCAAAGAUUAUCAAUAUAGAACAACAAAUGCAUCUGACUUAAAAUAAAUCCUUCAGGGACCCAUUUACUCUGUUUUCAGUGGUAAAUGAUGCAUCGUUUCACUUCAAGUAUUCUACAGAAAACAUAAAAGAUUUGGAUCAUGAGAUAUAAUAUUUAUCCUCUGUGGGGAAAAAAAAAAGAAAAUAAAGAUCCCACAUUGUAGAACUCUUUUCAAGUGUGGUAAUUACAGUCCAUAUAGAUCCAUUAUACUUGCAGUAUGACAGACCUUGAUUAAUUAUUAGUGUUUUUUUUUUUUUUUUUAAGAGUGAUUACAGUGAAGAAUGUGUUUUUAUUUAAAGCAGGUUUAGUUUGUAUUUGUUUUUCACUAGCUGGUCAUUCAAAUUAGUUCGUUCUAAUUAUCGGCAAAUACCAUGCCCAUUGAAUAAAAGUACCUGAAUGCAGUUAACAGUGUGACACUCAAAGCUGUUCCCUCUAUAAAAACGACAGCUGGGAGGGCUGCAGGGAAACCCUGCUUGGCAAUAAGGCUGCAUUUAAAAGAAUUAAAUUGUCAAAUUCUCUAGACUCAUGGGCUUAAUUAAAAGUCUGUGGACAAUUUCAGUGACAAAAGAAACAAUUAUAGCAGUCAGAAAUACUAAUAAAUAUAUCAGAAAUGGUUAAAAGCAGUUGAAAAUUAAGUAAGUGCAUUUACUGGCAAAUAUUGUCCAAGGAAAUGAUAACACAUAGCCAUGAUAUGGCACUGUGGAAAACAUGCUGAGGUGAAAGAAACUAUUGGAAUCCAGCACCUGGAGAGCAUUGGGAAAACAGACAGAUCAGAUCCGUGAGGCAGCUAUUCACUGUCCAUUCAAAAUCCUCCUACACAAAGUUCCAGGUAUAUUGUUAUUAUAAAGACUGGUUAUUGUAAAAUUUUAUAUAACUGAAGUAAUCAUUUAGCUUGGGUGCAUGUACUUAUGAAGAAGAUCCAGUGUUGCUUUGGCCUCCUAGGACAUCAGCUCAGAAGCUGUCAGCAUUUGGUCUGACAGAGUCAUCUGUGCAAUAAAGCACUCAUGAAUAAAUUUGGACUAGAAAGUGCGAAG